AUUGAACGCUGGCGGAAUGCUUUACACAUGCAAGUCGAACGGCAGCACGGGGGCAACCCUGGUGGCGAGUGGCGAACGGGUGAGUAAUAUAUCGGAACGUGCCCAGUCGUGGGGGAUAACGUAGCGAAAGUUACGCUAAUACCGCAUACGAUCUACGGAUGAAAGCGGGGGAUCGCAAGACCUCGCGCGAUUGGAGCGGCCGAUAUCAGAUUAGGUAGUUGGUGGGGUAAAGGCUCACCAAGCCAACGAUCUGUAGCUGGUCUGAGAGGACGACCAGCCACACUGGGACUGAGACACGGCCCAGACUCCUACGGGAGGCAGCAGUGGGGAAUUUUGGACAAUGGGCGCAAGCCUGAUCCAGCCAUUCCGCGUGCAGGACGAAGGCCUUCGGGUUGUAAACUGCUUUUGUACGGAACGAAAAAGCCUUGGCUAAUACCCAGGGUCCAUGACGGUACCGUAAGAAUAAGCACCGGCUAACUACGUGCCAGCAGCCGCGGUAAUACGUAGGGUGCAAGCGUUAAUCGGAAUUACUGGGCGUAAAGCGUGCGCAGGCGGUUAUAUAAGACAGAUGUGAAAUCCCCGGGCUCAACCUGGGAACUGCAUUUGUGACUGUAUAGCUAGAGUGCGGCAGAGGGGGAUGGAAUUCCGCGUGUAGCAGUGAAAUGCGUAGAUAUGCGGAGGAACACCGAUGGCGAAGGCAAUCCC
rnacentral:rRNA from 1 species